rnacentral:rRNA from 1 species
UACGAAGGGGGCUAGCGUUGUUCGGAAUUACUGGGCGUAAAGCGUGCGCAGGCGGUUUUGUAAGUUUGUCGUGAAAGCCCCGGGCUCAACCUGGGAAUUGCAUUCGAGACUGAAUAGCUAGGGUACGGUAGAGGGAAGCGGAAUUUCCGGUGUAGCGGUGAAAUGCGUAGAUAUCGGAAGGAACAUCAGUGGCGAAAGCGGCUUCCUGGACCAGUACCGACGUUCAGGCACGAAAGCGUGGGGAGCAAACAGG